rnacentral:rRNA from 1 species
UAGCGGCGGACGGGUGAGUAACACGUGGGUAACCUGCCUGUAAGACUGGGAUAACUCCGGGAAACCGGGGCUAAUACCGGAUGCUUGUUUGAACCGCAUGGUUCAAACAUAAAAGGUGGCUUCGGCUACCACUUACAGAUGGACCCGCGGCGCAUUAGCUAGUUGGUGAGGUAAUGGCUCACCAAGGCAACGAUGCGUAGCCGACCUGAGAGGGUGAUCGGCCACACUGGGACUGAGAACGGCCCAGACUCCUACGGGAGGCAGCAGUAGGGAAUCUUCCGCAAUGGACGAAAGUCUGACGGAGCAACGCCGCGUGAGUGAUGAAGGUUUUCGGAUCGUAAAGCUCUGUUGUUAGGGAAGAACAAGUACCGUUCAAAUAGGGCGGUACCUUGACGGUACCUAACCAGAAAGCCAGGCUACUACGUGCCAGCAGCCGAAUACGUAGGGCAAGGUUGUCCGGAAUUAUUGGGCGUAAAGGGUCGCAGGGGUUUCUUAAGUCUGAUGUAAAGCCCCCGCUCAACCCGGGGGGGGGUCAUUGGAAACUGGGGAACUUGAGUGCAGAAGAGGAGAGUGGAAUUUCCACCUGUAGCGGUGGAAUGCGUAGAGAUGUGGGGAACACCAGGGCGAAGGCGACUCUCUGGUCUGUAAC